rnacentral:lncRNA from 1 species
CCUCAAAAAUCUUGCCUACAAGGGAUAUUUAUUUUGGCCUUUCUCAUAAACAUUGAAACCAACUUGAUAUCAGAAUUAAGAGGAGCUGGCUAAGGGGAGAGCAUCAGCUGUGAACGAAUGAGAAUGAUGAGCCGGGUCCAUCCUGCUGCAACUUCCACCAGGGGCUCAGGCCAACAGGGAUAGGGAAGGAGGAGACACAUUUGCGAACGUUUCUGAGAGCACUCAGCCCGGGUUGGAGGAAGAGAGUGCCAGGAUGGAGAGAGGACAGUGGAGACGCACAAUGUGAUCCCUUCCUGCAGCUGCAUCUGGCGGAUGAAGGUGGAGAUGUCCCUGAAUUUAAUUCCCAAAAAGUCUGAGUAGCUGGAGCGGAAGCACUGUGGAACAUUCUACAACAUUCUCUCCAAUCCGUGGUGCUUCCCAGGGGACCACCAUUUCAACCCAGUCCACUCUGCCUUGAGAGCCCACAGAGCAAGCUUUUUCCCUUGGCCUGACACCAUCCUCCCCAUGGCAGUGAACAAACGGGUAAGACAUUCAGAGGGCCUGGACGUUUGUCAUCUUGACCUGAGUUUGCCUUGAGAUGACUUAGCCACUCAUGCUAUGGAACAAAAGUGGUCCUGGUGAGAAAGCCAGGAGCGAC